rnacentral:rRNA from 1 species
CGCGGCGUUCAACCGAGGGAGGAUGGGCCGCGUCGCGAUGCGGCCUCGCACUCCCGGGGCGUCUCGUUCUCAUCGCUGGAAGAGGCGCACCCAGAGCGUACACGUUGGGACCCCAAAGAUGGUGAACUAUGCCUGGUCAGGACGAAGUCAGGGGAAACCCUGAUGGAGGUCCGUAGCGAUUCUGACGUGCAAAUCGAUCGUCGGAACUGGGUAUAGGGGCGAAAGACUAAUCGAACCAUCUAGUAGCUGGUUCCUUCCGAACUGGGUAUAGGGCGAAAGACUAAUCGAACCAUCUAUAGUGGUUCCUUCC